CCUACGGGUGGCUGCAGUCGAGAAUCAUUCACAAUGGGGGAAACCCUGAUGGUGCGACGCCGCGUGGGGGAAUGAAGGUCUUCGGAUUGUAAACCCCUGUCAUGUGGGAGCAAAUUAAAAAGAUAGUACCACAAGAGGAAGAGACGGCUAACUCUGUGCCAGCAGCCGCGGUAAUACAGAGGUCUCAAGCGUUGUUCGGAAUCACUGGGCGUAAAGCGUGCGUAGGCUGUUUCGGAAGUCUUGUGUGAAAGGGGCGGGCUCAACCCGCGGACGGCACAUGAUACUGCGAGACUAGAGUAGUGGAGGGGUAAGCGGAAUGCUCGGUGUAGCAGUGAAAUGCGUAGAUAUCG
rnacentral:rRNA from 1 species